AGCGCAGGCGGUUUCUUAAGUCUGAUGUGAAAGCCUUCGGCUCAACCGAAGAAGUGCAUCGGAAACUGGGAAACUUGAGUGCAGAAGAGGACAGUGGAACUCCAUGUGUAGCGGUGAAAUGCGUAGAUAUAUGGAAGAACACCAGUGGCGAAGGCGGCUGUCUGGUCUGUAACCGACGCUGAGGCUCGAAAGCAUGGGUAGCAAACA
rnacentral:rRNA from 1 species